rnacentral:rRNA from 1 species
UAGGGAAUAUUGCACAAUGGGCGAAAGCCUGAUGCAGCAACGCCGCGUGCACGAUGAAGGCCUUCGGGUCGUAAAGUGCUUUUCUGGGAGAUGAGAAAGGACAGUAUCCCAGGAAUAAGUCUCGGCUAACUACGUGCCAGCAGCCGCGGUAAAACGUAGGAGGCGAGCGUUAUCCGGAUUCACUGGGCGUAAAGCGCGUGCAGGUGGCUUGGUAAGUUAGGCGUGAAAUCUCCCGGCUCAACUGGGAGAGGUCGUCUAAUACUACCGGGCUAGAGAGCAGAAGAGGAAGAUGGAAUUCCCGGUGUAGUGGUGAAAUGCGUAGAUAUCGGGAGGAACACCAGUGGCGAAGGCGAUCUUCUGGUCUGUUUCUGACACUCAGACGCGACAGCUAGGGUAGUAAACGGGAUUAGAGACCCCGGUAAUCCUAGCCGUAAACGAUGCGAACUUGGCGUUGGUGGGUUAAACUCCAUCAGUGCCGAAGCAAACGCGAUAAGUU